AUUGAACGCUGGCGGCAUGCCUUACACAUGCAAGUCGAACGGUAACAGGUCUUCGGAUGCUGACGAGUGGCGAACGGGUGAGUAAUACAUCGGAACGUGCCUAGUAGUGGGGGAUAACUACUCGAAAGAGUGGCUAAUACCGCAUGAGAUCUACGGAUGAAAGCAGGGGAUCGCAAGACCUUGUGCUACUAGAGCGGCCGAUGGCAGAUUAGGUAGUUGGUGGGAUAAAAGCUUACCAAGCCGACGAUCUGUAGCUGGUCUGAGAGGACGAUCAGCCACACUGGAACUGAGACACGGCCCAGACUCCUACGGGAGGCAGCAGUGGGGAAUUUUGGACAAUGGGCGAAAGCCUGAUCCAGCAAUGCCGCGUGCAGGAUGAAGGCCUUCGGGUUGUAAACUGCUUUUGUACGGAACGAAAAGCCCUGGGUUAAUACCCUGGGGUCAUGACGGUACCGUAAGAAUAAGCACCGGCUAACUACGUGCCAGCCGCCGCGGUAAUAC
rnacentral:rRNA from 1 species